CCUACGGGAGGCAGCAGUGGGGAAUAUUGCACAAUGGGGGAAACCCUGAUGCAGCAACGCCGCGUGAAGGAAGACGGCCCUUGGAUUGUAAACUUCUGUUCUUAGUGAAGAAUAAUGACGGUAGCUUAGGACCAAGCCACGGCUAACUACGUGCCAGCAGCCGCGGUAAUACGUAGGAGCCAAGCGUUGUCCGGAAUUACUGGGUGUAAAGGGAGCGCAGGGGGGAAGCCAAGUCAGCUGUGAAAACUACGGGCUUAACUUGUAGACUGCAGUUGAAACUGGUUUUCGUGAGUGAAGUAGAGGUUGGCGGAAUGCGGGGUGUAGCGGUGAAAUGCGUAGAUAUUCGGAGGAACACCGGUGGCGAAGGCGGCCAACUGGGCUUUAACUGACGCUGAGGCUCGAAAGUGUGGGGAGCAAACAGGAUUAGAUACCCCUGUAGUC
rnacentral:rRNA from 1 species